ACCUACUUCUACUAGCCAGACCUUCAACAAAACUUCUGCCCUCUUAUAUGUAAAUUAAGGGUGGUGGGUCUGGCAGAAGUUUUCAUAAUGUGCUCCGUGGCCCUGGGGUUCUGGAAAUUCUGGAGCCCAGGGGCAUCAGUGAGUAAGGAGAAUGCAUGAGAGGUGGGCUUCAGCCUCAGCAACCACCUUCUUAUACACUGAGGCUCUCCUGUAGAUUUCUUAAGAAAAAUCACCUACUCACCUGCACAUGACUUCACUUUCCUUUUUCAGUCUUUACGAAAGAGUCUGCGGAGGUGAGACAGGUAUUCUCCAAUUGCUGCUAACUGGUGCCAUAGAG
rnacentral:lncRNA from 1 species